UACGUAGGCAGCAAGCGUUGUUCGGAAUUACUGGGCGUAAAGAGUGUGUAGGCGGUGCUCCAAGUCUGGUGUGAAAUCUCCCGGCUUAACUGGGAGGGUGCAUUAGAAACUGGAAUGCUAGAGGAUGGGAGAGGUAAGCGGAAUUCCUGGUGUAGCGGUGAAAUGCGUAGAUAUCAGGAGGAACACCUGUGGUGUAGACAGCUUACUGGACCAUUUCUGACGCUGAGAACACGAAAGCGUGGGUAGCAAACAGG
rnacentral:rRNA from 1 species